rnacentral:rRNA from 1 species
UACAGAGACUGCAAGCGUUAUUCGGAUUCACUGGGCGUAAAGGGUGCGCAGGUGGCCAAGUGUGUUAGGCGUGAAAGCCCGGGGCUUAACCCCGGAAUUGCACCUAAAACUACUUGGCUAGAGCAUUGGAGAGGGGAGCAGAAUUCAUGGUGUAGCAGUGAAAUGCGUAGAUAUCAUGAGGAAUACCAGAGGCGAAGGCGGCUCCCUGGACAAUUGCUGACACUCAGGCACGAAAGCGUGGGGAGCAAAGGG